UACGUAGGGGGCAAGCGUUGUUCGGAAUUACUGGGCGUAAAGGGCGCGUAGGCGGCCUGGCAAGUCGGGAGUGAAAGGCCUGGGCUCAACCCAGGAACUGCUUUCGAGACUGCCAAGCUAGAGUGCGGAAGGGGCAACUGGAAUUCCCAGUGUAGCGGUGAAAUGCGUAGAUAUUGGGAAGAACACCGGAGGCGAAGGCGGGUUGCUGGGCCGACACUGACGCUGAUGCGCGAAAGCCAGGGGAGCAAACGGG
rnacentral:rRNA from 1 species